AUCCAGUUGACGAGUCCCAAGCGGGACUAAACGUGCAUCCUGGAU
rnacentral:hammerhead_ribozyme from 1 species